UUCGAUUUCCUACGGGAGGCAGCAGUGGGGAAUUUUGGACAAUGGGGGCAACCCUGAUCCAGCCAUUCCGCGUGAGUGAAGAAGGCCUUCGGGUUGUAAAGCUCUUUUGUCCGGGAAGAAACGGUUUCACCUAAUACGUGAGACUACUGACGGUACCGGAAGAAUAAGGACCGGCUAACUACGUGCCAGCAGCCGCGGUAAUACGUAGGGUCCAAGCGUUAAUCGGAAUUACUGGGCGUAAAGCGUGCGCAGGCGGUUGUGUAAGCCAGAUGUGAAAUCCCCGGGCUUAACCUGGGAAUGGCAUUUGGGACUGCACGGCUAGAGUACGGCAGAGGGGACUAGAAUUCCUGGUGUAGCAGUGAAAUGCGUAGAUAUCAGGAGGAAUACCGAUGGCGAAGGCAGGUCCCUGGGUCGAUACUGACGCUCAUGCACGAAAGCGUGGGGAGCAAACAGGAUUAGAUACCCUGGUAGUCCACGCCCUAAACGAUGUCAACUGGUUGUUGGGGAAUUCAUUUCCUUAGUAACGAAGCUAACGCGUGAAGUUGACCGCCUGGGGAGUACGGUCGCAAGAUUAAAACUCAAAGGAAUUGACGGGGGCCUGCAGCGGUGGAUGAUGUGGUUUAAUUCGAUGCAACCUCUUACCUACCCUUGACAUGUCCUGAACCCUGCUGAAAGGUGGGGGUGCCCGAAAGGGAACGGGAACACAGGUGCUGCAUGGCUGUCGUCAGCUCGUGUCGUGAGAUGUUGGGUUAAGUCCCGCAACGAGCGCAACCCUUGCCAUUAGUUGCUACAUUUAGUUGGGCACUCUAAUGGGACUGCCGGUGACAAACCGGAGGAAGGUGGGGAUGACGUCAAGUCCUCAUGGCCCUUAUGGGUAGGGCUACACACGUCAUACAAUGGUCGGUACAGAGGGUUGCCAACCCGCGAGGGGGAGCCAAUCUCAGAAAGCCGAUCGUAGUCCGGAUUGCAGUCUGCAACUCGACUGCAUGAAGUCGGAAUCGCUAGUAAUCGCGGAUCAGCAUGUCGCGGUGAAUACGUUCCCGGGCCUUGUACACACC
rnacentral:rRNA from 1 species